rnacentral:miRNA from 1 species
GAGGUGAGAGGAUCACUUGAGCCCAGGAGUUUGAGGCUACGGUUAGCCAUGAUCAUGCCACUGCACUCCAGCCUGAGUGACAGAGCAAGACCCUGUCUC